AGUGAACGCUGGCGGUAGGCCUAACACAUGCGAGUCGAACGGCAGCACAGGAGAGCUUGCUCUCUGGGUGGCGAGUGGCGGACGGGUGAGGAAUACAUCGGAAUCUACUCUGUCGUGGGGGAUAACGUAGGGAAACUUACGCUAAUACCGCAUACGACCUACGGGUGAAAGCAGGGGACCUUCGGGCCUUGCGCGAUAGAAUGAGCCGAUGUCGGAUUAGCUAGUUGGCGGGGUAAAGGCCCACCAAGGCGACGAUCCGUAGCUGGUCUGAGAGGAUGAUCAGCCACACUGGAACUGAGACACGGUCCAGACUCCUACGGGAGGCAGCAGUGGGGAAUAUUGGACAAUGGGCGCAAGCCUGAUCCAGCCAUACCGCGUGGGUGAAGAAGGCCUUCGGGUUGUAAAGCCCUUUUGUUGGGAAAGAAAUCCAGCUGGCUAAUACCCGGUUGGGAUGACGGUACCCAAAGAAUAAGCACCGGCUAACUUCGUGCCAGCAGCCGCGGUAA
rnacentral:rRNA from 1 species